GGGGGGACAGACUCGGGAAAGCCACCCGCAAGUGCUAGAGCGUAGGACACGGCGAUCCCUAAGUCCUUGCUAUGAACAUGACUCAACCUUUAGCCAAUCUCACUCAUCGUAUUCAGAAGCCUAUACUAUCUGAGAUAUAAAAAUUGACCACAGACUUCGGGACAUGAAUCAGUGGAUCGAAGUCCUUUGUAACCAGGCUCUGGCAUGG
rnacentral:lncRNA from 1 species